rnacentral:ribozyme from 1 species
AAAGAAAAGAGAGAGAGAGAGAGAGAAGAAGAGAAGAAGUCGUUGUAGUAGCAGUGUAGUAGGUAUUUUUUUUUUUUUUCCUUUUUUUUUU